AUUGAACGCUGGCGGCAGGCUUAACACAUGCAAGUCGAACGAGCGGCGGACGGGUGAGUAUUGUCUGGGAAACUGCCUGAUGGAGGGGGAUAACUACUGGAAACGGUAGCUAAUACCGCAUACCAUCAGAUUUGCCCAGAUGGGAUUAGCUAGUGGGUGGGGUAAUGGCGCACCUAGGCGACGAUCCUUAGCUGGUCUGAGAGGAUGACCAGCCACACUGGAACUGAGACACGGUCCAGACUCCUACGGUAGGCAGCAGGGGGGAAUAUUGCACAAUGGGCGCAAGCCUGAUGCAGCCAUGCCGCGUGUAUGAAGAAGGCCUUCGGGUUGUAAAGUACUUUCAGCGGGGAGGCGUUACCCGCAGAAGAAGCACCGGCUAACUCCGUGCCAGCCGCCGCGGUAAUUC
rnacentral:rRNA from 1 species